GAUGAACGCUGGCGGCGUGCCUAACACAUGCAAGUCGAGCGAAGCGGUUUUAAGGAAGUUUUCGGAUGGAAUUAAAACUGACUGAGCGGCGGACGGGUGAGUAACGCGUGGGUAACCUGCCUCAUACAGGGGGAUAACAGUUAGAAAUGGCUGCUAAUACCGCAUAAGCACACAGCUUCGCAUGGAGCAGUGUGAAAAACUCCGGUGGUAUGAGAUGGACCCGCGUCUGAUUAGCUAGUUGGUAAGGUAACGGCUUACCAAGGCGACGAUCAGUAGCCGACCUGAGAGGGUGACCGGCCACAUUGGGACUGAGACACGGCCCAAACUCCUACGGGAGGCAGCAGUGGGGAAUAUUGCACAAUGGGGGAAACCCUGAUGCAGCGACGCCGCGUGAGUGAAGAAGUAUCUCGGUAUGUAAAGCUCUAUCAGCAGGGAAGAAAAUGACGGUACCUGACUAAGAAGCCCCGGCUAACUACGUGCCAGCAGCCGCGGUAA
rnacentral:rRNA from 1 species